rnacentral:rRNA from 1 species
GUGAGGAAUAUUGCGCAAUGGGGGAAACCCUGACGCAGCGAUGCCGCGUGGGUGAAGAAGGCUUUCGGGUCGUAAAGCCCUGUCAGGUGGGAAGAAUAGUCUCUUGGUGAAUAGUCAGGAGGCGUGACGGUACCACCGAAGGAAGCACCGGCUAACUCCGUGCCAGCAGCCGCGGUAAGACGGAGGGUGCAAGCGUUAUUCGGAAUCAUUGGGCGUAAAGAGCGUGUAGGCGGCCGGUUAAGUCAGGUGUGAAAGCCCGGGGCUCAACCCCGGAAGUGCACUUGAAACUGGUCGGCUUGAGUUCGGGAGAGGGAAGCGGAAUUCCUGGUGUAGAGGUGAAAUUCGUAGAUAUCAGGAGGAACAUCGGUGGCGAAGGCGGCUUCCUGGACCGAAACUGACGCUGAGACGCGAAAGCGUGGGGAGCAAACAGGAUUAGAUACCCGGGUAGUCC